CAGAACUCCUGCGAGGAGCCCCUCAUGUCGACGUAGCCUCCGUAGACGAACAUGGAGGAACCAAACACCACUGCACUGUGGCUCUUCCUGUUGGUCGGUAUCUGUGCACACAUUUGGUGGACCCAUUUGUUCUUCCCUGGAGAGUGAAAUGAAAAGAAAGAAGAGAAAGGAACUGAGCAGUGAAAACAGGGGUCUGGAGAUGGAAGCUAAGCAGCACUCAGCAGGGUAUUGUGUCAGGCUAAACACUUCACAAUUUGUGCUAUUUUGAGGCACGCUGGGAGCAUGGAUAUUGUGUCCUGCUAUUGUCUGAAUGUUUCCCAUUCUUUUUAAAUUGUGUUUCAGAAACAUUGUUUGGAGAAAGGCUAGUCACUUAGGAUAAAAUGUAUAGAUAAAUUACCGGUAAGCGUUUUUUUCAGUUUUAGUGAAUAUCAUUGUAUGUUGCAUAUUUAAAACAUUGUCAUAAACUAGUGAACAACAACAAAAUGCAGCGCUUUACAACAUAUAAAGGAAUAACUGCACCACCGUGUAUUAAUAUUGAAAGAUUAUUCAAUUUUUACACGGGUAUAUUGAAUAAUGAAGAAUGCUCAUACUGUGACCCCUAAACAACCGCCUUCAUUUCAUAUUUUCACUUUGGAUGAUUGUGGGAAUGUGACAGAUUAACUUUCUGACAUGUUGGUAUCAGUGUAAAUACCAGAGCUCUAAAGGUCUACAAGCACAGGCAAGUACGCUGGUCGGGCCAAGGCACCCGCUCCCCACAGCAGAAACUCCUGUGAAGCAACUCACCCAAGUCAAACACCCACAGUGGACACCCACAACCUGUGUACGCACCGUCCAGGGUCCCCCCGAACGCGUACAGGAAGCCCUGGAAUCACCAAAUCAUCUGUUAGAUGUGUUACUGGACUGGAGCAAAACAGUGAUGUCCUUCCAGACCUAGAUCAGGGCGGCAGAUAAGGCUGAUAACAAUGGGAUUUUUAUUAGAGAAUAAAAGGCCAUUGCGUCGGGAUGUGCAAGUCCCAACAGUCAAGCA